GACGAACGCUGGCGGCGUGCUUAACACAUGCAAGUCGAACGGAAAGGCCCUGCUUUUGUGGGGUGCCCGAGUGGCGAACGGGUGAGUAACACGUGAGUAACCUGCCCUUGACUUUGGGAUAACUUCAGGAAACUGGGGCUAAUACCGGAUAGGAGCUCCUGCUGCAUGGUGGGGGUUGGAAAGUUUCGGCGGUUGGGGAUGGACUCGCGGCUUAUCAGCUUGUUGGUGGGGUAGUGGCUUACCAAGGCUUUGACGGGUAGCGGGCCUGAGAGGGUGACCGGCCACAUUGGGACUGAGAUACGGCCCAGACUCCUACGGGAGGCAGCAGUGGGGAAUAUGGCACAAUGGGCGGAAGCCUGAUGCAGCAACGCCGCGUGCGGGAUGACGGCCUUCGGGUUGUAAACCGCUUUCGCCUGUGACGAAGCGUGAGUGACGGUAAUGGGUAAAGAAGCACCGGCUAACUACGU
rnacentral:rRNA from 1 species